AACGGGGCGCAGGCUGCCUCGCUAAACGAUGCACACCUGUAACUCACGUGACCCUGAUUAUUAUUGAAAUGAGAACGAGGGCGUCUUGCCUUUAUAAAACUGUGUUAAUGUUUCUGUGGAGUUAUCCCUUCCGUUGUUGUUUAUUGAUUGUUAAACAUGGCUUCAGUUGCAAAGGUGGUUGUGUGUCUCCUCAUUGCUUGUGUCUGUAAUGCAUUCUGUUUUCCGAAGAGAGAUGUGAACUUUAAGGCCACUGCAGUUGACCGCCAAAGUGAUCACCACACCAUAGUUGUCACCACAACACCCGUUCCCCACAACCAGACCACAUCUGCCCAUACUGAAGCUGGUGGUGGUGCAAGUGAAGAUGCUGUGGCUACUACCCCAGCACCUAGUCCACACAACCAGACAACUUCUGAAGUUACUGAUGGAGCCAGUGAAGAUGCUGUGGACCGCCAAAGUGAUGUGGUUGUCGCCACAACACCCGAUCCCCACAACCAGACCACAUCUGCCCAUACUGAAGCUGGUGGUGCAAGUGAAGAUGCUGUGGCUACUACCCCAGCACCUAGUCCACACAACCAGACAACUUCUGAAGUUACUGGUAGGGUGUUUCUUUUUAGUUUUUGUGUGGUUUUCUGCAAGUUUUGGUUUUUGUAUAAAAUAUGUAAGUGUGUCCCUUGGCUCUCUUUGGCCCCCUCACUCAUGUGGAAUCCAAGAUGGAGCCAGUGA
rnacentral:lncRNA from 1 species